rnacentral:rRNA from 1 species
GCAGAAGAGGACAGUGGAACUCCAUGUGUAGCGGUGAAAUGCGUAGAUAUAUGGAAGAACACCAGUGGCGAAGGCGGCUGUCUGGUCUGUAACUGACGCUGAGGCUCGAAAGUAUGGGUAGCAAACAGGAUUAGAUACCCUGGUAGUCCAUACCGUAAACGAUGAAUGCUAAGUGUUGGAGGGUUUCCGCCCUUCAGUGCUGCAGCUAACGCAUUAAGCAUUCCGCCUGGGGAGUACGGCCGCAAGGCUGAAACUCAAAGGAAUUGACGGGGGCCCGCACAGGCGGUGGAGCAUGUGGUUUAAUUCGAAGCUACGCGAAGAACCUUACCAGGUCUUGACAUACUAUGCAAAUCUAAGAGAUUAGACGUUCCCUUCGGGGACAUGGAUACAGGUGGUGCAUGGUUGUCGUCAGCUCGUGUCGUGAGAUGUUGGGUUAAGUCCCGCAACGAGCGCAACCCUUAUUAUCAGUUGCCAGCAUUAAGUUGGGCACUCUGGUGAGACUGCCGGUGACAAACCGGAGGAAGGUGGGGAUGACGUCAAAUCAUCAUGCCCCUUAUGACCUGGGCUACACACGUGCUACAAUGGAUGGUACAACGAGUUGCGAACUCGCGAGAGUAAGCUAAUCUCUUAAAGCCAUUCUCAGUUCGGAUUGUAGGCUGCAACUCGCCUACAUGAAGUCGGAAUCGCUAGUAAUCGCGGAUCAGCAUGCCGCGGUGAAUACGUUCCCGGGCCUUGUACACACCGCCCGUCACACCAUGAGAGUUUGUAACACCCAAAGUCGGUGGGGUAACCUUUUAGGAACCAGCCGCCUAAGGUGGGACAGAUGAUUAGGGUGAAGUCGUAACAAGGUAGCCGUA